GCUGCCCCCAGGAUGUUGGGGCAGAGAGGAACCCAGCACUAUGCUCAGUGCUCAGAAUAGUGGGCACCAAGAAUGGUUUGUAGCUGGACAUC
ensembl:snoRNA